UACGGGGGGGGCAAGCGUUGUUCGGAAUUACUGGGCGUAAAGGGCGCGUAGGCGGUUCGAUAAGUCAGCUGUGAAAACCAUGGGCUUAACUCAUGGCCUGCAGUUGAGACUGUCGGGCUGGAGUGUGGGAGAGGAGAGUGGAAUUCCUGGUGUAGCGGUGAAAUGCGUAGAUAUCUGGAGGAACACCGGUGGCGAAGGCGGCAUCCUGGACCAAUUCUGACGCUGAGUGAGCGAAAGCCAGGGGAGCAAACGGGG
rnacentral:rRNA from 1 species